GAAUUUGAUCUUGGUCAGGAUGAACGCUAGCUACAGGCUUAACACAUGCAAGUCGAGGGGCAGCAUAGUCAAAGCUUGCUUGAUUGAUGGCGACCGGCGCACGGGUGAGUGACGCGUAUCCAACCUUCCCCUUAGUAGGGCAGUAGCCCGGCGAAAGUCGGAUUAAUACCCUAUGUUGUGUCAUGAGGACAUCUGAAUAACACUAAAGAUUUAUCGCUAAGGGAUGGGGAUGCGUCCGAUUAGCUUGCCGGCGGGGUAACGGCCCACCGGGGCGACGAUCGGUAGGGGUUCUGAGAGGAAGGUCCCCCCACACUGGUACUGAGACACGGACCAGACUCCUACGGGAGGCAGCAGUGAGGAAUAUUGGUCAAUGGGCGAGAGCCUGAACCAGCCAAGUAGCCGUGCAGGAUGACGGCCCUAUGGGUUGUAAACUGUCUUUUAUGCGGGGAUAAAGUGACGUACGUGUACGUUUUUGUAGGUACCGCAUGAAUAAGGACCGGCUAAUUCCGUGCCAGCCGCCGC
rnacentral:rRNA from 1 species